CGGAUCAAGACCGUCGGCACAAUGUGCCAUCCAACAGCCAGCCACCAAACAAAGCGGUGCCACACCGAGCCCUGUGGCAGCACUGAGCUGGAGAGCUCUGAAUCCGAGAGAGGCCGGUGAGAUAAAAAAAGGAGGCUGGGCGCUGAAAGGAAUAAAGAGGGUGUAAAAAAAGUAGGAGAAUUCAGGAACCUGCGACUAUAAGAAAUGACGUUCCGAUGGCUUGAUGGAGGCCGAAGACCUGCCAGGCAUCAAGCAUAUAGGCCGAGUGUUGAUUCGCACAGAGAAAUAAAACGAAGACAGAAGAGCGCUUACCGCUUUGCCAUUGUAGUAGUACAUCAGUGAACUGCCUGUCAUCCCCGGGAUGGUGUACGCACAAUACAUCGUUCCUAUCCUCCGCAGAAACCCGACAAGAUCGACUUCUCCCCUUCUCUUUUUUUGUUGUUGCUUGCUUUCUUUCUCUACAGAUUUUUUUAGUCGUCUUUAAUCGUCUGCUGUCCUCGCGCC